UACGGAGGAUGCAAGCGUUAUCCGGAAUUAUUGGGCGUAAAGAGCGCGCAGGUGGUUGAUUAAGUCUGAUGUGAAAGCCCACGGCUUAACCGUAGAGGGUCAUUGGAAACUGGUCGACUUGAGUGCAGAAGAGGGAAGUGGAAUUCCAUGUGUAGCGGUGAAAUGCGUAGAGAUAUGGAGGAACACCAGUGGCGAAGGCGGCUUCCUGGUCUGUAACUGACACUGAGGCGCGAAAGCGUGGGGAGCAAACAGGAUUAGA
rnacentral:rRNA from 1 species